GUCAAGUAAGAAUACCCGCUGAACUUAAGCAUAUCAAUAAGCGGAGGAAAAGAAACUAACUAGGAUUCCCUUAGUAACGGCGAGUGAACCGGGAAGAGCUCAAAUUUUAAAUCACCUUGGUGAAUUGUAAUUUGAAGAAAGUGUUUUGACUUUUCAGUUUAAUCCAAAUCCUUUGGGAUGAGGUAUCACAGAGGGUGAGAAUCCCGUUCGUGAUUAGACAUCGGAAUGCAUUAAUUCACUUUCUAAGAGUCGAGUUGUUUGGGAUUGCAGCUCAAAAUGGGUGGUAAAUUUCACCUAAGGCUAAAUAUAUGCGAGAGACCGAUAGCGAACAAGUACCGUGAGGGAAAGAUGAAAAGAACUUUGAAAAGAGAGUUAAACAGUACGUGAAAUUGUUGAAAGGGAAACGAUUGAAGUCAGUCAUGCUAGUGAGAAAUCAACUUGUGUGGAGCGAGUUUUUUCUCAAUCUUCCUUGUGUACUUUCUUGCUUGGCAGGUUAGCAUCAAUUUUGGUUGUCAUCAAAGAAUUGGGGAAAUGUGGCUUCUCUUCGGUGAAGUGUUAUAGACCCUGAUAGAUGUGACGACUGAGAUUGAGGAUUGCAGCGGAUGCCUUUGGGCUAGUCACCUAUCUUCUGACUGUCACCUCGCUCUUGACAGCUUGCUGAUGAUCGUGAGAUUUGUUAGUUUAGAAUUUAGAUUGAACAUAAAUUCGCUAAGGAUGCUGAUGUAAUGGCUUUAAACGACCCGUCUUGAAACACGGACCAAGGAGUCUAACAUGUGUGCGAGUGUU
rnacentral:rRNA from 1 species